rnacentral:rRNA from 1 species
UAGGGAAUAUUGCAAAAUGGGCGAAAGCCCGAUGCAGCAACGCCGCGUGGGCGAUGAAGGCCUUCGGGUCGUAAAGCCCUUUUUGAGGGGAUGAGGAAGGACAGUACCCUCAGAAUAAGCCUCGGCUAACUACGUGCCAGCAGCCGCGGUAAAACGUAGGAGGCGAGCGUUAACCGGAUUUACUGGGCGUAAAGCGCGUGCAGGCGGAUUGGAGAGUUGGAUGUGAAAGCUCCCGGCUUAACUGGGAGAGGUCGUUCAAUACUUCCAGUCUUGAGUGCAGUAGAGGGAAGUGGAAUUCCGGGUGUAGUGGUGAAAUGCGUAGAUAUCCGGAGGAACACCAGUGGCGAAAGCGGCUUCCUGGACUGUAACUGACGCUCAGACGCGAAAGCUAGGGUAGCAAACG